rnacentral:rRNA from 1 species
GGUUCAGAACGAACGCUGGCGGCGUGCUUAACACAUGCAAGUCGAACGCAAAGGGACUCGGUCCUGAGUAAAGUGGCGCACGGGUGAGUAACGCGUAGAUAACCUGUCUUCAUGUCUGGAAUAAUACGCCGAAAGGGGUACUAAUACCGGAUAUUCUUGCUUUUCAUAAGUUAUGCAAGCAAAGGUGGCCUCUGCAUAUGCUACUGCAUGAAGAGGGGUCUGCGUACCAUUAGCUAGUAGGUGGGGUAAUGGCCUACCUAGGCGACGAUGGUUAGCGGGUCUGAGAGGAUGAUCCGCCACACUGGCACUGGAACACGGGCCAGACUCCUACGGGAGGCAGCAGUGAGGAAUAUUGCGCAAUGGGGGAAACCCUGACGCAGCGACGCCGCGUGAGUGAGGAAGGCCUUCGGGUCGUAAAGCUCUGUCAAGAGGAAAGAAGUGUACAAUGGCUAAUACCUGUUGUAUUUGACGGUACCUCUAAAGGAAGCACCGGCUAACUCCGUGCCAGCCGCCGC